UUGGUCAAUGGACGCAAGUCUGAACCAGCCAUGCCGCGUGAAGGAUGAAGGUCCUCUGGAUUGUAAACUUCUUUUAUCUGGGACGAAAACGGGAUUUUUAUCUCAAUUGACGGUACCAGAGGAAUAAGCACCGGCUAACUCCGUGCCAGCAGCCGCGGUAAUACGGAGGGUGCGAGCGUUAUCCGGAUUUACUGGGUUUAAAGGGUGCGUAGGUGGGCUUAUAAGUCAGUGGUGAAAUCUCCGAGCUUAACUUGGAAACUGCCGUUGAAACGAUAGGUCUUGAAUUAUCUGGAGGUAAGCGGAAUAUGUCAUGUAGCGGUGAAAUGCUUAGAUAUGACAUAGAACACCAAUUGCGAAGGCAGCUUACUACAUAUAAAUUGACGCUGAGGAACGAAAGCGUGG
rnacentral:rRNA from 1 species